UGGGGAAUAUUGGACAAUGGGCGAAAGCCUGAUCCAGCCAUGCCGCGUGGGUGAAGAGGGCCUUCGGGUUGUAAAGCCCUUUUGUUGGGAAAGAAAUCCUGUCGAUUAAUACUCGGCGGGGAUGACGGUACCCAAAGAAUAAGCACCGGCUAACUUAGUGCCAGCAGCCGCGGUAAUACGAAGGGUGCAAGCGUUACUCGGAAUUACUGGGCGUAAAGCGUGCGUAGGUGGUUCGUUAAGUCUGAUGUGAAAGCCCUGGGCUCAACCUGGGAAUUGCAUUGGAUACUGGCGGGCUAGAGUACGGUAGAGGGUAGUGGAAUUCCUGGUGUAGCAGUGAAAUGCGUAGAGAUCAGGAGGAACAUCCGUGGCGAAGGCGACUACCUGGACCAGUACUGACACUGAGGCACGAAAGCGUGGGGAGCAAAC
rnacentral:rRNA from 1 species